ACACACCCUCCCUGUCUGCCUCUGACGCUGCAUGGACAGCGAACCACUCAGAGGGAGAUCAGGUUUCUGUUUGUGUUCAUUCCGUUGUGUCCUACACGGGAUGGUCAUGUAAUUGCUCAGGAAUAAUACACAGUGAAGUGGCUGAAUAAACGCCACCUGGUCUGAGUUGCGGUACCUCUAUGUUUACAUCGAGCCGCUGACUCCGUCGGGAUCGUCAACAGGCUGCGAUCACAAAGCAACAAAACUGCCAGCUCAUCAAAUCACAAUGUUUUCACCCAAAGGAGUCCUGCUGUUGCCUUGUGGGAAAAUCCCUGAGUCAUUGCAAGAGAAGUACCGUCCCCGGAUCCUCCUGAGGCGCUUUCUGUACAAUUUCUAUUCAUGUAGCUCCUGACUAAUGUGUGCCAAUCUCUGAGUGUUUUUCAUCCCUGAUAUUACAAUGAAAGCAACUUUCUGUAGUAAUUAUUACUAUGAAUUGACCUCCUCCCUCAUUCAACUAAUCACUGUUUGUAGCUCCUCUCUGCCAGCUGUAACAUGUACAGCAACAAUCCAGUGACGAAAGCAGCUUAGUAAGGAUGCCAUCCCUUCAAAAACCAAAAUAGCCUCCCUGCUAAAGCAUCCUUCCCUUAAACUUUGAGUGCAGCAACAAAAAUAAAUUGCUUAUAUUUUUGGGCUUAAAAAUGAGCGCCGUAAAGCAAAACUAAGCCUGAUGUGCCUUGGCAGCACUGUUGGUGACUAACUUCUCCCGAAUGUUCUUGUAAUAGACGCCAUGUUGACAAGUUUAUAUGAUUAAGAUUAAAAAAACAGUGUAAUAAAAGCUUCACAUAUACACACACAGUCCUGCAGACAUAUAAAGAUACUCAUGAAAGGCAUGUGAGCUGAUAAUGGGACUGACAAUUUUAUUGGCCUACAGCAGAGCGAGAGAGUGUAAAGUCCACACCUAACUGUACUUCAGCUUUAAGUCAACCACAACACAGUGUCGGGGAGAAUCAGAAAGAAAAAGAAAACAUUAAUUAAAGUUAGAAAGGAGCAGAGGUGGAAGGGGGGGCAAUGUUGUUAUCUUGGGAAGUCUUCAACUUAUGUCCAGUCUGGAAUAUAAGCAACUCAGCAACUAUUACAUCGCCCUCUUUUAUACUGCCAGUUCAAGGCUGGAUAUUUACGCCUCUGUAACGUCUCGCCUUCACUUCUGCAAUGCCUUAACUCGAUGUUAAAAUCACAAACUGGGACACCAGUAUGAAUUGACUGAAUAAAUAUAGAGGGGGCUUUGGAGUCUCAUCAAAAAGCUGUUCCUGUCGCAGGCGCAUGCAUAUUCCAUAACAUAUGCAAGGUGGUGAACAACAUUCUACACAUAUAUUAGCGGCCCAUUGUUAUUAAAUUUAAAAUAAGAGAAGAGCUACUUGUUAGCCGGACAGCUAAUCUAAGAUCCAGAUCAACCAGUGUACCCAACUUACUGACCGGCCCAGUUUACUGACCAGAAACAAUUUGUAUCUGAAAAUAUGGUGUGAAAAGUAAGUCCUUUAAACUAUGAAGUUGUCCUGGAGGAUUCUGGUAAGGAUUUGCGAGUUGUUAAUAUUGCCCAGCUCCAAACCAUGCCCGGCAGCUGCUGAGUGGGACAGACAACAGCGCCAAAGAGUCAUUGAUAUCUUGGAGGCAGAAUCUGAAGAUGAAGAAUUUCCUGGAUUUGCUGAUGUUGAAUUAAUGUAAUAACGAUGUUGUUGCCCAGUCAGGCUGUCUUCUUCUUCUUCAGGCUUUCUUCCUGUGUCCAAUCUCCAGGAUAGUAAAGUUAUUUUUUAUUCUCAUGUUUCAUGUCUUGUGUGUCCUGUUUACUUUGAUACUUACACUGUGUCGAUCCUUUGCUUCCUACCCUCCCGCCUGUGUCUCUCACAUAUGUGGAUACCUGAUGUGUCUCAGCUGUGUCAAGCUGUCUUCACUCCCCUUGAGUAUUUAAUCCCUGUGGUCCCCUCCGUUCGUCUUGUUUUUUUGUGACAGAGUUCCAGCAUUCCCAGAAGAUUUUGCUGAUGAGUAAUUCUGAUCAGUUUCUGUAUUUUUGAACCAGUCUUUUUGCCUUACGAUUUGGAUACCUCUGCUUUUUUUUUCUGGAUUCCAGUGAACUGACCAUUCUUCUGAUUAAAGAACUAGUGUUUUGGAGUGAUGCAUUUGGGUUCUGUGUUUUAUGGUUCAGUCUGACAUCCUGUCGUUUUUUUGUGCAACGGAGUCCGCUCCGCUGCGACGCACUCUUAUGAUGUCACGCCUGUCAAACAGGCAGCGCAAUUCAGUAGUGUGUGUGUUGAAAGAGAGACUAAUGUCUAUGGACAGAUUGUGCCAAAUCGGGGUAGUUUAGGCUCGGAUUGUGCCUUAUUUCUAAGAUCUUCCACCGCUCAGCUCAACUGCUUACCAGAAUUCCUCUCAGCAGGAUAAUCAGGGACAGCAGGUCAGUCCAAAGACUGCUCCGUGACCUGACUGACUGACAAGCUUUGAAUGGGAUUAUUAUUAUUUUUUAAAGUGAAUCAAACAGACUAUUAUUUUUUUAUUUGUUUUUACCCGUGAAGACUAAGAUUGUUUUGAACCAAGAAUUCAAGAAUUGAAAGAUGAAAGCCUGAAUGAGGUUUUUUUUGUUGAUGUUUCCCUCAGAAAGAAGACUAUUUUUAUUUAAAAUUGCUGGUGUUAUAUUAUUGUGGUUGUUGUGUUUACUGUUAACGUUGGGGUUUAAUACAAAAAGCUUUAUUAAAACAAAGCCUAGUUGAAGA